UUAUCUUACGGGGGGCAGCAGUGAGGAAUAUUGGUCAAUGGACGAGAGUCUGAACCAGCCGAGUAGCGUGAAGGAUGACUGCCCUAUGGGUUGUAAACUUCUUUUAUAUGGGAAUAAAGUUUUCCACGUGUGGAAUUUUGUAUGUACCAUAUGAAUAAGGAUCUGCUAACUCCGUGCCAGCAGCCGCGGUAAUACGGAGGCUCCGAUCGUUAUCCGGAUUUAUUGGGUUU
rnacentral:rRNA from 1 species